GGGGCUGUAGCUCAGUGCAGAGCACUUGCUUAGCAUGCAUGAGGCCCUGAGUUCGAUCCUUAGCACCACA
rnacentral:tRNA from 1 species